AGAGUUUGAUCAUGGCUCAGGAUGAACGCUGGCGGCACGCUUAACACAUGCAAGUCGAACGAGAGAAGAGGAGCUUGCUUUUCUGAUCUAGUGGCGGACGGGUGAGUAACACGUGAGCAAUCUGCCUUUCAGAGGGGGAUACCGAUUGGAAACGAUCGUUAAUACCGCAUAACAUAAUUGAACCGCAUGAUUUGAUUAUCAAAGAUUUAUCGCUGAAAGAUGAGCUCGCGUCUGAUUAGCUAGUUGGUAAGGUAACGGCUUACCAAGGCGACGAUCAGUAGCCGGACUGAGAGGUUGAUCGGCCACAUUGGGACUGAGACACGGCCCAGACUCCUACGGGAGGCAGCAGUGGGGAAUAUUGCACAAUGGAGGAAACUCUGAUGCAGCGAUGCCGCGUGAGGGAAGAAGGUUUUAGGAUUGUAAACCUCUGUCUUCAGGGACGAAAAAAGACGGUACCUGAGGAGGAAGCUCCGGCUAACUACGUGCCAGCAGCCGCGGUAAUACGUAGGGAGCGAGCGUUGUCCGGAAUUACUGGGUGUAAAGGGAGCGUAGGCGGGAUCGCAAGUCAGAUGUGAAAACUAUGGGCUUAACCCAUAAACUGCAUUUGAAACUGUGGUUCUUGAGUGAAGUAGAGGUAAGCGGAAUUCCUAGUGUAGCGGUGAAAUGCGUAGAUAUUAGGAGGAACAUCAGUGGCGAAGGCGGCUUACUGGGCUUUAACUGACGCUGAGGCUCGAAAGCGUGGGGAGCAAACAGGAUUAGAUACCCUGGUAGUCCACGCCGUAAACGAUGAUUACUAGGUGUGGGGGGACUGACCCCUUCCGUGCCGCAGCAAACGCAAUAAGUAAUCCACCUGGGGAGUACGACCGCAAGGUUGAAACUCAAAGGAAUUGACGGGGGCCCGCACAAGCAGUGGAGUAUGUGGAUUAAUUCGAAGCAACGCGAAGAACCUUACCAGGUCUUGACAUCGUAUGCAUAGCUCAGAGAUGAGUGAAAUCUCUUCGGAGACAUAUAGACAGGUGGUGCAUGGUUGUCGUCAGCUCGUGUCGUGAGAUGUUGGGUUAAGUCCCGCAACGAGCGCAACCCUUACUGUUAGUUGCUACGCAAGAGCACUCUAGCAGGACUGCCGUUGACAAAACGGAGGAAGGUGGGGAUGACGUCAAAUCAUCAUGCCCCUUAUGACCUGGGCCUCACACGUACUACAAUGGCUGUCAACAGAGGGAAGCAAAGCCGCGAGGUGGAGCGAACCCCUAAAAGCAGUCUUAGUUCGGAUUGUAGGCUGCAACUCGCCUACAUGAAGUCGGAAUUGCUAGUAAUCGCAGAUCAGCAUGCUGCGGUGAAUACGUUCCCGGGCCUUGUACACACCGCCCGUCACGCCAUGGGAGUCGGUAACACCCGAAGCCUGUAGUCUAACCGCAAGGAGGACGCAGUCGAAGGUGGGAUUGAUGACUGGGGUGAAGUCGUAACAAGGUA
rnacentral:rRNA from 1 species